AAAAAAACCCAAUUCUCUGUCUUUUUCCCUCCUCCAAAGUAUGAAGCUAGCUCUCCGACCUUCUAAAACCCUUAUUCUCCCUCUUUCAAACCCUAGCCUCUGAAUUUUUUCAAUCUUCUAUCUUGGAUCCGGAAUUGGCUCCGCCGUCCGAGCUUUCUCCUCCAUUUUUUUUGCCUUUUAAAAGGUUCUUUUUUCGGAAACAACGUUCCCUGAAACGGCAC
rnacentral:lncRNA from 1 species